GACUGGGGGGCAAGUGUUCUUCGGAAUGACUGGGCGUAAAGGGCACGUAGGCGGUGAAUCGGGUUGAAAGUGAAAGUUGCCAAAAAGUGGUGGAAUGCUCUCGAAACCAAUUCACUUGAGUGAGACAGAGGAGAGUGGAAUUUCGUGUGUAGGGGUGAAAUCCGUAGAUAUCGGGAGGAACACCUGUGGCGAAAGCGGCUCACUGGACCGCAACUGACGCUGAGGCGCGAAAGCUAGGGGAGCAAACAGG
rnacentral:rRNA from 1 species